GAUGAACGCUAGCGGCAGGCUUAACACAUGCAAGUCGAGGGGCAGCAUAAUGGAUAGCAAUAUCUAUGGUGUCGACCGGCGCACGGGUGCGUAACGCGUAUGCAACCUACCUUUAACAGGGGGUUCACACUGAGAAAUUGGUACUAAUACCCCAUAAUCUCAUAGAAGGCAUCUUUUGUGGUUGAACAUUCCGUUGGUUAGAGAUGGGCAUGCGUUGUAUUAGCUAGUUGGUGGGGUAACGGCUCACCAAGGCGACGAUACAUAGGGGGACUGAGAGGUUAACCCCCCACACGGGUACUGAGACACGGACCAGACACCUACGGGAGGCAGCAGUGAGGAAUAUUGGUGAAGGGACGCAAGUCUGAUGCAGCCAAGCCGCAUGCAGGAUGACGGCUCUAUGAGUUGUGAACUGCUGUUGUACGAGGGUAAACGCAGAUACGUGUAUCUGUCUGAAAGUAUCGUACGAAUAAGCAUCGGCUAACUACGUG
rnacentral:rRNA from 1 species